rnacentral:lncRNA from 1 species
UUGAAUCCAAUCUCAAGUGACAGCUACCAUUAUGUAAGAAAUCCUGGUUUAGAAAAAGGAGCUAGUUUUAGUGCAAUUUGUGACAAUGCGCGGAUGAGAGGUAAGCCAAUAACUCAACAUCGACAUCAUCAGCAAGCAGUCAUUGGAGGCAGCAAAUACAAGCUAAUGGCAAGCAAGAAAAUGGUUGGUGUUUUCGUAAGUGUAUGGAUGAAGGAGGAGUUGGCGACGAAAUACAGUGUUUCAAAUGUGAAAGUUAGUUCAGUGGCUUGUGGGAUCAUGGGUUAUUUGGGAAACAAAGGUUCAGUUUCAGUUAGUAUGUCAAUUGAAAGGACCAGCUUCUGCUUCAUUGCUGCUCAUUUGGCUUCUGGAGAGAAACAAGGCGAUGAAGGCCGAAGGAAUCAUCAAGUUUCAGAGAUUUUUAAGCGAACAAGCUUUCCUCGAUCAGCCAAAGAUGAACACAAUCUUCAUCCUCUCACCAUCUUAGGACAUGAGUAAGUAAUUCCUCUUCAAAUUUGAACAUAUUUGUAGGCAGAAUGUGACAUCUAAAUCGUCUAGCACUCACAACUACCUUGAAUUCCAAACAAAAAAGUAUUAUCCAGUCGCAACAAUUGAACAUUAAUGUUUGAAGUAUCAUUAGGAUAGGAAUAACCGAAAUCUAUGCAAAUUAGUUGUAUUAACAAUCCAAAUUCAUGAAAUAAAACCUUCAUCAUUUUUAUGGAACAGUCGGAUAUUCUGGUUUGGGGAUCUCAACUAUAGGUUAUACAACUUGGAAGACAAUUUAGCUAGGCAUUUGAUACAGAAGAAAGACUGGAAAGCACUGCAAGAGUUCGAUCAGCUUCGAAGGGAACAAGAAGAUGGAGGAGUGUUCCAAGGUUGGAGAGAGGGUAACAUUGAAUUUGCACCAACUUAUAAAUACUCUUCAUCAAAUUGUAAUCGAUACUCAGGUGGCGUUCCCAGUAGAUCAGGAGAGAAACAAAGGACUCCAGCAUGGUAUAUUGUGCAACCAACUAAUUUUCACAGAAUCAAACUCCUUAAACACAGAUCUGAUUCUAUGAGCAUGAUGCAUGUGUCUUGUCACAGGUGUGAUAGAAUUCUGUGGUAUGGAAAAGGAGUGAAACUUUUAUCCUACUUGCGAAGUGAAAUUAAGUUUUCCGAUCAUCGGCCGGUCUCUGCCCUAUUCUCAACUCAGAUAGAAGUCAACAAGUCUAGCAAUCCAAGAAUUUUUUCCAAGGAUACCAUUGUUCCAAACAUUAUGCCUCCAGAACAGAUUGUAAGUUCGCUCAUUUUAAUUACUAUAGCCUAACUUUAGCAUGUUUUUCCUAAAGUCUGUAUAUAAGCAUAUGAUGAUAGAUCUUUCCGUUACAGGGGACAAGCGGAAACUAUGAAGAGGGUAAAGCUACGUUGCUAUCUUUGAUUGUAAAGGAUACAGAAGCAUCUUCAAUACACACGCAAAAGCUGUAGAUAAACCUUAUGAAAAUGGAUUCAGCUAAUUUAUUUAACAGCGGGGCCGGCUGUAAGAAGGCAUUAUUAUUUUACAAUCUUCUUUCUCCUUUCCCUCUUGUUUCUUUGGACAGAGUUCCAUGACUGGUUAUGAGUUAGAUCCACAGAUGAAAACUAGUUUCUAUAAUUCAAUAAGUGAAAGUAAUAUUUAUCAAGACUAUAACAGUGAGCAAGAACAGAGAUACAUAAAACCUCUUAUACAGUAUGGUAAGAGAUUUGUAAAAGAGAGCAGUAAAGGCUCGAGCAUUAGAAAUCAUUUCAAUUUUUUUCAAUAAGAAGCUAAUAUAUAUAUAUAUGUGAAAUUUUGCUGUAAAAAUCCAUUCAGAUAAUGACAUUCUUUUGCACCUUGAGCAUUAAUGAACAAAGAUACUAGGUAUUUAUAUAUACCUUAUCUUUAGGGCACUAAUUAUGGCCAUACCAUAGAAUCAACUUUCAUAAAUGUAUAGCCCCAAAAGUUCUCAUGCAAUUUAUAUUUAAGGACGUCAACACCAUUACAGAAAUGUUAGUACGUAAAAGACUUGCAAAAGAUGAAUUCCCAUAAUCCAUUCAUCAAGAAAUUAGACCAUAACUAUUUCAAUUUGGAUAACGCUCUCUCUAAAACACCAAGGAUUGAAGAAUUUACAGCAAACCUAAUCUUAAAAUUGAACUCAACCAUUUGGAAAAUAAACUAAUCUCUGCAUAAAUUAAAAUGACAUAGGUGAUGUUUUUAUCUUAUUUUUGCUUCUUUAAUCGUCAAAUAAUCCAUGAAAAAGUUUUAAAUAUAUGUUUAAUUACAAAAACAAAAAGUAAUCCUUGAUUCAUUCAGAUACGCAAAUAAUAGAACCAGUGCCGUUUUAGUACCUUAAACUCCUUCAUCAGAUCCAGCGGUGGAUAUUUCAUCUUGAAUCAGAGCAAUUCUGGCCUGCGAACAAUAGAACAAUUAUUAAAAAUAUAUGCAAAAAAAAAAAGAUUUAAUUUUAAAACAAAUUAGUGAAAAUUUUAAAAUAAAUCUCCCUUUGUUUUCUACAGAGAAUAAAUGUAGAGAAGCAAAAAAAGAAGACGGAAAAACUGCUUUGCUGAAAUUCUAAUCUAGUUCUCUUUCAUGUUAACAGGAUUUUAAAAAAAAAAUUCAAAAAAAUUAUUGAUAUUUCUGGAUUUAAAAUAUUUAAAUAAUUUUAUUUACCUUUCGCUAUUAUUGUUUUAUCUUAUCUUUUAAUUAUAUUUUAAAUUUCUUCUUUUGAUCUUAUAUAAGUUUCUAUCCAUAAAUCAGUGAGCUAUUUCGUAAGUUUCCUAUCACUUCAAUUACAACAUUUUCUCAAGAAAAAAAAAGAUAUAUGCAACUGUAAAGAGAUUAUAUUACCUCCUCUGGAUUUAUCUGAAGCAAGGUGGUAGAUCUGUUCCCGCCAUAUUGGCUUUCACUUCCUGUUUUUUACUAAAGAAAAUUCAAAUUCGAACAAACGAAACGAAGAGUUUUUUGAAAAUUAAGAUCGUGGUGUGCAUCUCUUACGCCUAAGUUGGGAGAAAAUUAUACUUAGCCCACUGUAGAAGGUUGGGCCUAAGCCUUAAAUCAAUU